AACGAACGCUGGCGGCAUGCCUAGCACAUGCAAGUCGAACGAGACCUUCGGGUCUAGUGGCGCACGGGUGCGUAACGCGUGGGAACCUGCCUUUAGGUUCGGAAUAACUCAGAGAAAUUUGAGCUAAUACCGGAUGAUGUCUUCGGACCAAAGAUUUAUCGCCUUUAGAUGGGCCCGCGUUGGAUUAGCUAGUUGGUGGGGUAAAGGCCUACCAAGGCGACGAUCCAUAGCUGGUCUGAGAGGAUGAUCAGCCACACUGGGACUGAGACACGGCCCAGACUCCUACGGGAGGCAGCAGUGGGGAAUAUUGGACAAUGGGCGAAAGCCUGAUCCAGCAAUGCCGCGUGAGUGAUGAAGGCCUUAGGGUUGUAAAGCUCUUUUACCCGAGAUGAUAAUGACAGUAGCGGGAGAAUAAGCUCCGGCUAACUCCGUG
rnacentral:rRNA from 1 species